GAUGAACGCUGGCGGCGUGCCUAAUACAUGCAAGUCGAGCGAACAGACGAGGAACUUGCUCCUCUGACGUUAGCGGCGGACGGGUGAGUAACACGUGGAUAACCUACCUAUAAGACUGGGAUAACUUCGGGAAACCGGAGCUAAUACCGGAUAAUAUAUUGAACCGCAUGGUUCAAUAGUGAAAGACGGUUUUGCUGUCACUUAUAGAUGGAUCCGCGCCGCAUUAGCUAGUUGGUAAGGUAACGGCUUACCAAGGCGACGAUGCGUAGCCGACCUGAGAGGGUGAUCGGCCACACUGGAACUGAGACACGGUCCAGACUCCUACGGGAGGCAGCAGUAGGGAAUCUUCCGCAAUGGGCGAAAGCCUGACGGAGCAACGCCGCGUGAGUGAUGAAGGUCUUCGGAUCGUAAAGCUCUGUUAUUAGGGAAGAACAAAUGUGUAAGUAACUAUGCACGUCUUGACGGUACCUAAUCAGAAAGCCACGGCUAACUACGU
rnacentral:rRNA from 1 species